CGGGGCGUAAUAUAGUGGUCGUAUACACCCUUCGGGAGGGUGAAGCCCGAGUUCGAUUCUCGGCGCCCCGA
rnacentral:tRNA from 1 species